rnacentral:rRNA from 1 species
ACGAGGUUUUGUAGUCCUGGCUCACGGAUGAACGCUGGCGGCGUGCUUAACACAUGCAAGUCGAACGGACUCAUAUUGAAACCUAGUGAUUUAUGAGUAGUGGCGGACGGGUGAGUAACGCGUGGAUAACCUGCCGUAUACCGGGGGAGUAACACUUGGAAAUAGGUGCUAAUACCGCAUAAGCGCACGGCUCCGCAUGGGGCAGUGUGAAAAACUCCGGUGGUAUACGAUGGAUCCGCGUCUGAUUAGCUAGUUGCGGGGUAACGGCCCACCAAGGCAGCGAUCAGUAGCCGGCUUGAGAGGGUGGACGGCCACAUUGGGACUGAGACACGGCCCAAACUCCUACGGGAGGCAGCAGUGGGGAAUAUUGCACAAUGGGGGAAACCCUGAUGCAGCGACGCCGCGUGAGUGAAGAAGUAUCUCGGUACGUAAAGCUCUAUCAGCAGGGAAGAAAAUGACGGUACCUGACUAAGAAGCCCCGGCUAACUACGUG